CAAGCAGACCAGGGUCCUGGGGCGCCGGGUGCCUCCUGUCCAAAGGGGAAGCUCUCCUCCGCACGCAGCCAGGGUACCAGCUGGGUCGUGGGCCCGAUGACAGCAGCUACAGGGCCAAGCAGGGGCUCCACAGCCUGGAAGAAGGCUCUGAAGUGCUCCUCGGGUUCUAGGUGACGCGUCAUGGCCACGUACUUGUCUAUGAGCCUCUCACGUAUGAUGGUACUUUCCUGAUGCAGAGGAAGGACAGGAUGCACACAAGGAGGGGCGUGAGGAGCUGAGCACUGGGAUGGUUCCUUAUCUUUGCUCAGGGAGACUGAGGCCUCAGGCAGGAAGGCACGGGCAGCCCCCCUCCUGUGCUUCCUGCCUUGAAGGAGCAACAUCCCUCCCCGUGGGCAGGGCCUGAGGGAGAGGCCAUCCUGCUCAGAGGCUGCAGCCUGUAGACCUCAGCCCCACCUGCCCUGGGGCCAGGACCGGGGCUUAAGCUGGGGAGUCCUUCUGGCUGCCCUCUCCAAGGAGCCCAGCCCCUGGAGUGGAGGGGAGACUCCCAAGAGGUGGGUGGCCUGGUGCUGAGAGCUCCGGCUCACUAGGGUCUCUGUCCUCUUCAAAGCUCACCAUCCUGCACACCCUGUGCCCCUCUGCGCUCACUCCCAUCAUUAUGUUCCAGGGGUUUGUCUAGGACCGGCAGGCCAGCCUUGAACAAUCCGAAGAAGGGGACCAUGCUGUGCCACUGGGGUGGGGAGGUGCCCCGUCUACCUGAGGGGAGCCCAUAGAGCCUCUCCUGAACUCCUCACUCGCAGCCCCUAGCUCCCCUUAGACCACCAUGUGCUUCCUCCCACGCCCUCCCUUCGCCCUGCUCUCCCUUCCUGUCCCUCCCAGGGCUGGCUUUUGGCCAAUCCCAAGACCUGUGGUCCCUGCACCCAUCCUCCAACUUCUCUCUGUACGCAGCUACUCUCCCUCCUGGUCACCCCAGUCCUGGCAGUUCAGGGCUGCUGGCACCAGCAGCAAGUGCAGGGUCUCCCCCACUGCCAUGACUCUGGCCAGGCCACUCUCACCUCCUGCCUAUCCUCGGAUCCCUGGAGGAAACGAUGCUGUUGCGUCACCAUGGAGGUCGCCUCCUGCAAGGUCCAGGACACUCAGAUCUACAAGGUGCAGCACCCGGAGUGCUGCAGCAUCUACAGGAGAAAGGAUGACAGGAGGGACAGAAGUUGGGGCCAGCUAUCACUUUCUGCCUGGCCUCCUGGUUGGCUGCUGGUGGCAGAGGGAUCUGUGAUGUAAGCCCGGGGAGAGGAAAUCCCAGGGCAAAAUACCUUUAACAACAGAAAUCAGUCAAAGGAAGAAAUAAAGUUUAAAAUUCAUUUAUUGCUUAUAAA